ACGGGUGAGUAACACGUGGGUGACCUGCCUCGCACUCUGGGAUAAGCCCGGGAAACUGGGUCUAAUACCGGAUAUGACUCCACGUCGCAUGGCGUGGGGUGGAAAGCUUUUGUGGUGCGAGAUGGGCCCGCGGCCUAUCAGCUUGUUGGUGGGGUAACGGCCUACCAAGGCGACGACGGGUAGCCGGCCUGAGAGGGCGAUCGGCCACACUGGGACUGAGACACGGCCCAGACUCCUACGGGAGGCAGCAGUGGGGAAUAUUGCACAAUGGGCGGAAGCCUGAUGCAGCGACGCCGCGUGAGGGAUGACGGCCUUCGGGUUGUAAACCUCUUUCAGUACCGACGAAGCGCGAGUGACGGUAGGUACAGAAGAAGCACCGGCCAACUACGUGCCAGCAGCCGCGGUAAUACGUAGGGUGCAAGCGUUGUCCGGAAUUACUGGGCGUAAAGAGCUCGUAGGCGGUUUGUCACGUCGACUGUGAAAUCCCAUGGCUCAACUGUGGGCGUGCAGUCGAUACGGGCAGACUUGAGUACUGCAGGGGAGACUGGAAUUCCUGGU
rnacentral:rRNA from 1 species